rnacentral:tRNA from 1 species
CCCUGGUUAGCUCAGUUGGUAGAGCGCUCCACCUGUAAUGGAGAGGUCCCGGGUUCGAUUCCCGGUCCAGGCG